rnacentral:tRNA from 1 species
AGGGCUAUAGCUCAGUUGGCGAGAAGGUCUACGGUUCGAGUCCGUAUAGCCCUA